CUUUCUUCUGUGCAUCUAGCUCUCUUCUGCCUUCUUUACUGUGACCACAAACCUUAGUCUCUACUGGCUAAGAAUGCUAUUUUAGCUUCUACUGUCUACCUCUUUCUGUACUUGGUACGUGGGUCGUGCUUCUACACAGUAAAUUCAUAUGCUUUUUCUCAUUAGUGUGUUUAUCACUAGUUAAUUUUGUGGACCAAAAUUUCUGAAGCUUCAGAGGAAAAAGAACACAAGACUUCUCUACAAUGCUAUGUUCUAAAUACCUCUGUGAUUCUGGAUUGUGUCAAGUUGUCGUUUAACGAUAUCAUACAAGGUAUGAUGCUCUAGAAGCUGUCUCUGUAGGAUACAAUGAAGCAGCUGGUCAGAACAAGAAGAAAAUAAACUCAAUUCCAAAGUCAAGAGAGAAGAGCUUUGGGCAUUCAUAAAGGCAAUGAUAGUG
rnacentral:lncRNA from 1 species